CAACUUUAUGUUUAUGUGGCUAAUUGUAGCCGAAAGUUUUAUUUAUCAAUCUUAUUUUUCACAGCAUAAAUGAAACUGUGUUUCAAGAACAAGGUGCUGCUACAUCAUUCAAGGAAAUUCGUCGUAGAGGUCUUUCUCUUUACCAGAUUUCGUAGCUGAAGUUUAUGAAGUAAUCAAACCGGUGUUAACUUCUUAUAUAAAGGUAGAUUCCCAAACUUUGAAGAAACACUACAGUACUGAGGUAAUUGAAUGUUGUAAGGCAGAGCAUCGGGCUUACUAGAGCCAAGGUAUCUUCUUCGAUAACAAGGAAUAAAGGAAAAUGAAAUAUAACCAAACUUGGGAUCUUUGCAAGCAAGCUUCCA